rnacentral:rRNA from 1 species
AAAAAGAACUCGGAUGAACUGAGGGUAGGGGUGAAAGGCUAAUCAAACUUCGUGAUUGCCCGUUCUCUUCGAAAUGUCUUUAGGGACAGCGUCGGAUGGUCAGCGUUGGUGGUAGAGCACUGAAUGGACUAGGGGCCUUACCAGGUUACUGAAUCCAAUCAAACUUCGAAUGCCAACGAUCUGCAAUCCGGCAGUGAGACAGUGGGGGCUAAGCUUCAUUGUCGAGAGGGAAACAGCCCAGACGACCGGCUAAGGUCCCUAAGUUUGUGCUAAGUGGUAAAGGAUCUGGAGACGCCGAGACAACCAGGAGGUUGGCUUAGAAGCAGCCAUCCUUUAAAGAAAGCGUAAUAGCUCACUGGUCAAGCGGCUCUGGGCCGAUAAUCCAACGGGGCUUAAGCACAACACCGAAGCCGUCGACUUGACGAUCCUGCGGGAUCGUCGAUUGGUAGAAGAGCGUUGUCUAGUCAUUGAAGCUAGAUCGAAAGAACUGGUGGAGGCUAGACAACUGACCCUGCCGGCAUAAGUAGCGAGAAGAAAAGUGAGAAUCUUUUCCGCCGUAAGCCUAAGGUUUCCUGAGGAAGGUUCGUCCGCUCAGGGUAAGUCGGGACCUAACGCGAGGCCGAAAGGCGUAGCGGAUGGAUGUCCGGUUAAUAUUCCGGAACUAGCAAGAAGACGUUAUCACGAUGGGGAGACGCAGAAAGCUAUGCGGGCCAGCUGAUGGAUGUGCUGGUUGAGGUUGUAGGGGGAUUCGCCAGGCAAAUCCGGUGAGUCAUUCAACCCUGAGAGACCGAAGCGAGAGCCGAAAGGCUCAUAAAGCCGCAGACGCUACGCUGCCGAGAAAAUCCUCUAAGGAGUAGUCUUGCUACCCGUACCGCAAACCGACACAGGUAGGCGAGGAGAAAAUCCUCAGGCGCAAGUGAGAACCCUCGUUCAGGAACUCGGCAACCUAACCCCGUAACUUCGGAAGAAGGGGUGCUCCGUGGCGUGUAGGGAUUUACUCCCGAAGCGUUGUGGAGUUGCAAUAAAGAGGCCCAAGCAACUGUUUACUAAAAACACAGGACUCUGCGAAGUCGAACACGACGUAUAGGGUCUGACGCCUGCCCGGUGCCGGAAGGUCAAAGGGAGAGGUUAGCCGCAAGGCGAAGCUUCGAGCUCAAGCCCCGGUAAACGGCGGCCGUAACUAUAACGGUCCUAAGGUAGCGAAAUUCCUUGUCGGGUAAGUUCCGACCUGCACGAAUGGCGUAAUGAUUUGGGCGCUGUCUUAACGAGGGGCACUGCGAAUUUGUGGUACCGGUGAAGACGCCGGUUGCCCGUGACUAGACGAAAAGACCCCGUGCACCUUUACUGCACCUUAGUAGUGAGUGUUGCCGUCGUCUGCGCAGGAUAGGUGGGAGGCUUUGAACCCGGGUUUUCGGAUUCGGGGGAGCCAAUGGUGAGAUACCACCCUGACGAUUGCGACGCUCUAACUUCGCCCUCUUAUCGAGGGCAAGGACACUGCUAGGCGGGUAGUUUGACUGGGGCGGUCGCCUCCUAAAGUGUAACGGAGGCGCGCGAAGGUUCGCUCAGGCUGUUUGGAAAUCAGCCUUAGAGUGCAAAAGCAUAAGCGAGCUUGACUGCGAGACC